UUUGUUUAGAGGGAAUUCGAUGGCGAAGAUAAUUUCGCUAUAGGAAAGUCCGGACACCACAGGGCAUGAUUCCAUAUGAAAAUGUGGGGGGUUGCGUGAGAACAGCAAUUCACGGAAAGUACAACAGAAAAUAUACCGCCGUAAGGUAAGGGUGAAAAGGUAGAGGUAAGAGCUCACCGGAUAUUCGAGUAAUCGGUAUCGCAUGGGAAACCCAAUCAGGUGCAAGACAAAAUAAGGAAUGGGGUUGCCCGCCCAAUGAUUCCGGGUAAGUCGCAUUUCUCUUAGAAAAACAAUCGAAAGAUUGUUAGAUAAAUGAAUUCCAAGCUGUAAAGCUUACAGAAUCCGGCUUAUAUCUAAGCAAAACAC
rnacentral:RNase_P_RNA from 1 species